rnacentral:rRNA from 1 species
UGAGAGGGUGAUCGGCCACACUGGGACUGAGACACGGCCCAGACUCCUACGGGAGGCAGCAGUAGGGAAUCUUCCGCAAUGGACGAAAGUCUGACGGAGCAACGCCGCGUGAGUGAUGAAGGUUUUCGGAUCGUAAAACUCUGUUGUUAGGGAAGAACAAGUACCGUUCGAAUAGGGCGGUACCUUGACGGUACCUAACCAGAAAGCCACGGCUAACUACGUGCCAGCAGCCGCGGUAAUACGUAGGUGGCAAGCGUUGUCCGGAAUUAUUGGGCGUAAAGCGCGCGCAGGCGGUUUCUUAAGUCUGAUGUGAAAGCCCCCGGCUCAACCGGGGAGGGUCAUUGGAAACUGGGGAACUUGAGUGCAGAAGAGGAGAGUGGAAUUCCACGUGUAGCGGUGAAAUGCGUAGAGAUGUGGAGGAACACCAGUGGCGAAGGCGACUCUCUGGUCUGUAACUGACGCUGAGGCGCGAAAGCGUGGGGAGCGAACAGGAUUAGAUACCCUGGUAGUCCACGCCGUAAACGAUGAGUGCUAAGUGUUAGAGGGUUUCCGCCCUUUAGUGCUGCAGC